CAAAAGCGUAUAUUAAAGUUGUUGCAGUUAAAAAGCUCGUAGUUGAACCUUGGGCUUGGCUGGCCGGUCCAUCUUUUUUGAUGCGUACUGGACCCAGCCGAGCCUUUCCUUCUGGCUAGCCUUUUGGCGAACCAGGACUUUUACUUUGAAAAAAUUAGAGUGUUCAAAGCAGGCCUUUGCUCGAAUAUAUUAGCAUGGAAUAAUAGAAUAGGACGUUAUGGUUCUAUUUUGUUGGUUUCUAGGACCAUCGUAAUGAUUAAUAGGGACGGUCGGGGGUAUCAGUAUUCAGUUGUCAGAGGUGAAAUUCUUGGAUUUACUGAAGACUAACUACUGCGAAAGCAUUUGCCAAGGAUGUUUUCAUUGA
rnacentral:rRNA from 1 species